rnacentral:lncRNA from 1 species
AGAAGGUGGGAAAUGGCUGAUACCGUAUUCGUGGAAGAGUAUGUAAUGUAUGGAGCUCCUCCGGAUAUGUCCAUGUUUUAAGACUGUUAUUGGAACUCACUGAGUCAGACACAUUUGUUGUUGUAUUAGUAAAAUCAUGAUCCAAUGAGAAGUUUGUGAACAUUUGAGAUGGUUUAAUCCGAUAGAGACCUUAUUUUUUCAAGGUUUAUUCAUCAUCAAAUUCAAAUCUGCUACUGUAUAAUAAUAAAUAC